rnacentral:lncRNA from 1 species
GGAGAAACGAGGAAGGAGACACAUCAGAGUUUACAGUGCUUAGUUCUUAAGUACUUUAAGUUUAGUUCAUAGUUUGUUUGUCAGUCACCCUACUUUGAUGGUGUUCGUGCGUGAACUACAAAACCACACAUUAGCAUCAAAGUGUAAAGGACAAAGUCUGCAUUAAAACCCAUCUAAAUCAACUACGGACUGCCUUUUGAGUUCUGACCGGACUCACCACAGUGAUUUGACCUUAUCCACCAGCAUUAUACGUUCACUAGUUUUACAACUAGCAUUCACAAGUUGAGGCCCAACCUAAAUCGGUUCUUACAGCGUAAGGCUCAUUGUCACCACCAGUGAUGACCUCUCUUGGAGCCAGGGCUCUGGAGCAAUCGUAACCUAUCAACAGUCCAGCAGCACAGUCCAUUAAUGGAGGGAUAUAUUUUGCUAAGUUAGCAAGGAGUGGCCAUUUUUUGGCUGUUUGACACGUGGGAGUAUGAGCAUGUUCUAGUAAGUAAGUAAGUAAGUAAUAUUUAUUUAUAUAGCAC